CAGUCGCCGCGGUAAUACGUAGGUGGCAAGCGUUGUCCGGAAUUAUUGGGCGUAAAGGGCUCGCAGGCGGUUUCUUAAGUCUGAUGUGAAAGCCCCCGGCUCAACCGGGGAGGGUCAUUGGAAACUGGGAAACUUGAGUGCAGAAGAGGAGAGUGGAAUUCCACGUGUAGCGGUGAAAUGCGUAGAGAUGUGGAGGAACACCAGUGGCGAAGGCGACUCUCUGGUCUGUAACUGACGCUGAGGAGCGAAAGCGUGGGGAGCGAACAGGAUAAGAGACCCGGGUAGUCCCUGUCUCUUAUAC
rnacentral:rRNA from 1 species